CAGAAGUUUUGGCUUGUAGCCCAGUAUCCCAGAGACCAGUGCCGGGUAUUCAGACGGUGCAAUGAUCUUCGACACGGAGGACUUCAGAUUCCCGCGUCAGAUGUGACGGCAACCACCACUAAGAGGGUAGUCACAACCAACUGUAGCCAAACUUGCCAACUGAGUGGUUCAGAUAAUUCACAGACUGCAGGAAUUCCUCUACUUGCAGGUUGAUUGUCUUGCCCAUUGUUUAGCUACUGAUUUGAACAACAAGGAGGAGGGGUGAACACAAACAGGAUGUGUCAAAGGAAUAGACAACUAAUAAGUAAAAUGCAACAUCAGAGUUGUACAGCUGUGCCGGAGGAAGAUGGGAUUAACAACAAUGUGGCAGUGCAAGGACAGCAACAAGACAAUUCUAAGCAUGUUCACUUGGAAAUAAUUCCCGCUCAGUUCAAUGGGAUCUGCUUUCAAAUAAAUGCACUAUUCUCAGUAAUUGCUUGACAGUGUCUGGUUAAUUUUUUUAACAAUGCAAGUAAUCUCUUUAAGAAACAUAUUUGCAUAUUAAUAAACAUAAAACUAAUAUGAAUUGAGAGAAUACA
rnacentral:lncRNA from 1 species